rnacentral:rRNA from 1 species
UACAGAGACUGCAAGCGUUAUUCGGUUUCACUGGGCGUAAAGGGUGCGCAGGCGGCCAAGUGUGUCAGGUGUGAAAUCCCGAGGCUUAACCUCGGAACUGCGCCUGAAACUACUUGGCUAGAGUACUGGAGAGGGUAACGGAAUUCACGGUGUAGCAGUGAAAUGCGUAGAUAUCGUGAGGAACACCAGAGGCGAAGGCGGUUACCUGGACAGUUACUGACGCUCAGGCACGAAAGCGUGGGGAGCAAACAGG